rnacentral:lncRNA from 1 species
UGUUUAUGUUUGAUUUUAUUAUGUCUGGCUAGUUCUUUUAAUCUGAACCUAGGGUUUGUACAUAGCUGAUUAAUUAUGUGUUUUUGAUUUAUUGAUAUCAAUUUGCCUUCCAACUUGUGAUUCAUGAUUCCUGGUGCUUGAUUUCUUGUGAAUUAUCUGAUCAAUGAUUUACAUGUCUAGCUGUUCAGUUUGAGUCUUGAAUGCGAUAAUUGUUCAGCCGAUUCAGGAAUGCAUGAUAUAGUGUUAGCCUUGAGUCUUGAAUGCGACAGGUGAAGCUAUAGGAAGCUAUUCUUUAUGUGCUAUUUGGAGUUAAUUAAUUCCUUGGAGUCUUGAAUGCGAAAA